GUGUGGUCUACUGUGUUUCUUAUUGAUCCUCUGUGCCACUUGUCACUUUCGUUUUCUACUUUUGGGAAAAUAAUUUCUUCACAAGUCUGAUUAUUAUAUACAGUAACGCCAAACACAUUAGUCAUCUCUAAUCUCUAUGCUUAACUUUAUGGUAACAAGUAAGAAUAUGUGAUCAAAGUGGUGAAAUGAUUGCUCUAAAGUCUAAAGUCUAAACGAAGAACUAUACUAAUAGAGCGUGCAACUAAGCCUUAGCAUUUUAAUUUCUAAAAGCUUUGAUUACUAUAAUACAAAUUUUAUAGACUUGCUCCCCACCUUUUUCUCUCUUCCUUGAAAGUUUAAGCCUUUUGAUUAAUUAU